rnacentral:rRNA from 1 species
GACGAACGCUGGCGGCGCGCUUCAAGCAUGCAAGUCGAACGAGAUACCCGGGCUUGCCCGGGUGGAGAGUGGCGAACGGGUGAGUAACACGUGAGGAACCUGCCCCGAAAGACCGGGAUAACGCCGGGAAACUGGUGCUAAUACCGGAUGCCCUCGCCGGAUCGCAUGGUCUGGCGAAGAAAUGGAUUCCGCUUCGGGAUGGCCUCGC